rnacentral:lncRNA from 10 species
CUUCGGAGGUCAGAGCUCGGCGGGGUGCGGCUAGUGGCGGAGCGCGCUGCGAGGGGAGGGCUUUCCACUGUCGCUGGCGUGAACUCGCGUGCCCGCAAGCUGGAUUUCGGGAAUGCUCAGUUCAGAAGAGAAAAAAUUGCCGGGAAUCAAGUCCUUCUUUUUGUUAGUCGGUAGUCGAUUGAUGGGAAGUGUUCAAAAUCAUUCGAUGUGGUGACAAGGCUUCACCAGGUACUGCCUUCUAACGAGCUGGCCAUUUCCACAUGUCAGAUAGGACCAACUUGCCUUUUAACUACCCGUGUGAUACUUAAACACUGUUGCCGGUAUCACAGCUUUUCUUCAAAACAGGAAGCAACGAGAAUGAGGGCAUUCCAGUAGCAGGAGACAGCAUGCAUAGAGAUGCUGAUGAAGAAAGAGCCUAGCGCACGUGGGAAACUGCAAAAGUUCAGACUGGUUGGAAUGCUGGAAAUGUUGUGAAUGACAGGAGAUGAGGCUGGCGAGAAAACAGAGAUGCAAUAGUUAAUGAGGUCAAGUUAAGAAGCAAUAGGAGGCCAGGCAUGGUGGCUCACACCUGUAAUCGCAGCACUCUGGGGAGGCCAAGGUGGGUGGAUCAC